AGAUCCACCUUAAAUGGCUACAUCAGCUAGAUCCACCUUUAGAGCUAAAACCGUGUGCGGACCGCCCGCGUGCUUACAGAGUUGGAUUACAACGUUACUUCGGAGGAAACAGGACACCGGGUCUUACUUUGCGUUCAGCCAGACCAAACCCUCCCUGAUGAUGUGAGUGAUAUGACGGCUCAGAGAUGGGACACGCCUGCAGCAGCAGAAGGUGAAACAUUCCUGAGGUUUUAUGCUUCAUGUGCAACAGAUUACAGACUGGGAUUGGCUCCAGGAGCUCCGACUGACAGAAGCUGAGACAAACAUCUUCUUCUGUUUAAGGACUAAACGAUUCUUCUGCAGGAGGCAAGAGGAGCUUCAGAGCUAAGAAACAUCCACCGCUUCGACCUGAAGGCCUUCAAACAUCGAACAUGAGAUUAAGUCCAGUUAAACCACAGUUCCCAUGAGCCUUUGCUUCAGUUGCACUUCAGUUGUUUAUGGUGUCUAAACCGUCAUCAUUCAUGUAAAUGUGGCUGCAGCUUGUUUUAAUGUUAGGUCAUUGUUUUUGAUUCUGUUAUUUUCUAAAUUAGACACAAAGAAUCCUGAGAAUAGAUUAAAAUAAUCUUAAACGGACAGGAACCUUUCAAAUUUAACUCAUUUUAAUUUAUUUUCUAAAUGCUUUUAAUUUUUGUCUGAGCUAGAUGCACCGACUUACUUGAAGAAACAAAAUCCACCAGAAUAUAAUUUCUGAUGAACGUAAAAUAAAAAUAUUCUCAUAGACCAGCUGUUGCUCAUCCAUGGUGCAUUCACAGACCUCCCAUAAAAUGAGAUUUGUGUGUUUUAGACGGGCUGGGAGGAUCAACACCAUGGGGGUGAUGAGCGGCUGCGUUUUGGUGCUUCUCUGGCGCCAAGAACAUGACGAUGCUCUGGAUUAACUUUUGAGUUCUUCACAAUCCUGAAAUUUUAUGAAUUUACUGAAUUAUUUUACCUUUCAGCAACUCGGAAAGUUUCUUUAAUUGAUGUGCUUUAGUUUAGCAAAUUGUAAAAUUGAUUUGAGUUCAAUUUAGGGUAAAAACGUCACACUUUGUUAUUAUUUGAUCAUGUCAAGUGUUUUGGGUAGGGUCUGCAAAAUAAAUAAUUUAUCACUCUUUUGGUUCUUUAGCAUUUCGUCACUUCUGAGGGGGUCCAGCAGUACAGCGCCACCUGCUGGUUAACUAAUGAACUGCUGCAGAGAGCAGUAAUCGGCAGAGGACUAAAAUUCUAUUAAUUUUUCACUAAAAUUUAAUAAUCUGCACUAAUCUCAGAUGGUUUUAACACUUAAACACAAAAAAAAAAUCAAAUAAAACCAAGAAAAAAUAAAUAAAGCAGAUUUAAAGACUGUCAGGAUGUUUGAUGAUAGAGAACCUGAAUAGGAAGUUUUAUAGGCUUUCAGUGAGAAACUAAAACAUGAAACAAGAUUUAUCCACAUUUAUUCUCCACAUAACAGAGAAAGGCAUGCUUCACUCGUCUGCAUCAGACUCCUCGUCAUCCUGACUGAUUUGGAAGUAACGCAGCUCGUACGUCUCCUUAUCGGACGCCACCACUCUCAACCAGUCACGCAGGUUGUUCUUCUUCAGGUACUUCUUUGUCAGGUACUUCAGAUACCUGAAAGGAGUGAGGAGUUCAUUCCCUGACAUCUCUCCACCAGAUUUUUUACUUUACUCAACUCCUCCCACCUUUUAGAGAACUGCUUCUCAGAUGUGACGUUGAUCUUGUUCUUCAGGCGGCCGACCUGAACGAUGUUACCCAGGUUCCCGGUCUUCCCGUUCACCUUGAUCUUGUCUUUGAGGAACCGUUCCUAUUGAACAGAACAGAGUGAUGCACUAGGGAAGAGAACCCUAGUAAAGCAGGAGCUAGGGAAGGGCACCCUAGUCCACACACACGGUUAGCGGUCAUAGUUAUGGGAUUAACCAGUUAGUGAUUUCCAUGUGUAAAUAAACCCAAGCUGUAACUAAAGUGUAAUCUGAACAUCCACCGUUUAAAAAGCGACUCACAAAGUUGGCGGAGUCCAGGAUGCCAUCCUCCACAGGAUGGGUCAGGUCCAGCGUGAACUUCCAUGAAGCUCCUUUUUUGGACUUUUUACCAACAGCUGGCCUCUUCUGUUUGAUC